ensembl:lncRNA
ACCACAUUCUGACUGAGGGAGGAGAUGGAGAGCGAAUGAAAAAGAGAAGAAGAGAGAGAGUGAGAAAGAGUGCCUAAUCCAUCACAGGAAGGGAGGACUGACACAACAAAAGACAGAGUGCGGAGCAAGGCUUUUUGGCGGCUAGGGCCGAGGCAACUUCGACAAUAUUUUUUGGCGCCUGUCAGGCUGUCUAAUAAAGCAGAGCUGGAAUAUGAACUAUCUCUCACUGCUGUAAUACGCCUCAUAAAUCAGAUUUAAUUACGCGGUGUGGGGACAGGCAGUGGGAGCCCUGGCUGGAUUUAUGGGGCCUUGACUUGGCAUCUUAACAACUUUGCGCUUUUAAUAUCAUUACACUGUCAUCUAUUUUGCCUCCUGUCACAGAGCACGCCCAAACUCCCUGUGUAACAGCACAUUUUUUUUCUCACAGAGCCAUCUUUUUUCUUCGCCCCGUCUUUUUUCACCCUGAGAAAAGUGUGUUGACACCACGUAGAAGGAGCCAUUACGCCAGGCACAUAUGCCUACAGCUGUCUUGUGAUUAUCCGGUCGUUCAUCAUGCCUGAAUUACCCUAUCAAUACUGCUGCCUGCAUAGACCACAAGAGGCUGCGGACAGAGAGAUUUGUUUUUACGAGGACAGGAGUGGAGGGAAUGCAUAAGGAAAGAGGAGACGAGCAGAAAAACAUUUAAAUAUUUCCUCC